UUGCCUAGCAUGCUCAAGGCUCUGGAUUAUUUUGUUGUAGCUAUUCGUUUGUUUUAAUUUUUGUUGUUUUGCUUUGUUUUGGUACCAGGAGUCGAAUUUAGGACCUUGUGCUUUUGAGGCAGGUGCAGCACCACUGAGGUAAAUCCCUAGCCUUGUUUGUUUUAGUUUUUUGAGACAAGGUCCCACUAUGUAGUUGCGGCUGGCCUUGAACUCACAGUGAUCCUCCUGGCUCAGCCCCCCCCCACCCUUCAGUGCUGGGAUUACAGGUUUGUACCACCCACUGUCCAGCUCUUAUUGGUCACAUUUAGAAAUGGAUUUCUAGAGCCAAGCACAUGCCUGGAAUCUCAGCUCUUGAGAGGCCAAGGCAAGAGGAUCUCCAGGAGUUCAAGGCCAGCCUGAACCACAUAGGGAGACCCUGACUCAAAAAACCAAGGCAAAACAAGGUUUACGAAUGUAAAAUAUCUCCAAAGAUUUAGCUCAGUGGCGACACACCUGCCUCCCAAGUGCAAGGUCCUGAGUUUGAUCCCAGGUAUUAAAAAAAGAAUGUGAAAUAUCGUCAAUGCUCACAUGCGAUGUUUUCAGUUAUAACAAGGAAAAUCCAGAAGGACUGAAGCAAGCCAAAGUGAACACGGCAGCUUCCUGUGAGAAAUACGAAUUCUGCUUGGCCGGCCUCUCGGAGCCCCCCAGUCUGCUCAGGCUCCCGUCCAGCCUCAAGCCCUCCAAACUCCACGUGCAGAACUGCCUGUUUGAAGAGUACAAACGCAUCGCCCCUGAAACCCUGGGUGAACUUGAGGAGAUGCUGCAGAGUUAUGCAGGGCACCACACCCCGUUCCCCAUGGGCCUCAUCAACCUGGUGAACUACAGCUGGCAGGAACUCACGGACAGUGCCCCGAAGCCCUGCCCACCCAGGGCGCCAGACCCAGCCAGGCAAGGGCAGCCUGCGGUUAAAGCAAAACAAGACGUUUCAGCAAGUAAAUUUGUGAAAAAAUUAUCCCUUGCCAGCCACGACCACGGAGUCCACCCAGAGAACAGCUCCCCUGAUGUCAUCCACUUCUCGCUGUCAUCCAAGGCCUGUCUAGAAAAUGGUAAGGCACUUCACCUCCCCAAACAGGCUCAGUUCUGACGACCAGCGGAGUGAGUGGCAGUUGCUUCGGGGUCCCUGAGUUCGGGGUUUGAACACGGCUUCAAACAUGCUAGGUUACAGCUGCAGACCCCCGUUCCAUUUUGGGAGACAGAGUCUUGCUGAAUUGCCCAGGCUGGCCUUGAACUUGAAUCCUCCUGCCUCAGCCUCCCAAACAGCUGAGAUUCUAUUUGUGCACGACCACACCUGGCAGGAACUUGUGGAAUAUUCUUGAUUUAGAGAAUAUACUUCAUGCCGAGUGUGCCCUACCCACCUCCCCACCCUCUGUGUACACCUCGGGACGCUGCAUGGAGGGGUGAGAGUUUGGGACUGGCUUCUGGGGCGGGCCAGGAAAUAGACUGCAGUGCUCAUGCUAAGGAAGAGCCCCGGAGGUGCAGGAAACAGCGAGCAGCGGUGAGGGGCGCGUACGAGGCCACUUGAAGGCGUCCAGGAUUUCAGUAAGUGGCCCAGAAACGGGAUGUCCUCGACUUCCCAGCCCGGGGAGGGGCGUCUGUGCGGGGAGACGGGGUGACGGUCAGGCCCCAGAGGCGCCUGAGGGGGAGAAGACGGAGCACAUUGUGUCACGAAGUGAAAGAACGCGCUUGUGGGUGAAAGGAGAAAGCCAGGAGAGCACUUACAGAAAACAAUUAAAAAGAGGAAUACCUCCUGUGAGCAGGAGGAGCUUCCAAAUGGAGGUCCAAGCUGUUUUUGUUAUUUUU
ensembl:lincRNA